AAGUCCGUGCUGCACUGCCCACAAAGUUACAGCAACUAGAAACCCAUAGCGGUGAACUGUAGGCCUUUGCAGGAUUCACCUUCAUAAAGACCGCAACAUUUUUCUCAAAGGACAAUUACUUACUUCACCGGUUAAUAAUGUCAACAUAGACCGUAGGCUACGUUGAUGAAAUCCACACAAUGAAGGGGCUUAUGUACUGUUUGUUAAGAGGAUCUGCUUAAUCAGCGUACGUCCAGGUCUCUGAAUUUCGGACAUUUUCAAAAUAACAGUACCUCACGUAAUAUAAAAGUCAUAUCGAGUGGUUCCCAUUAUGAAUUUGAUGCUAUGCAACCCAGGGCUGGAGACUUUCCUCAGCAAAGAUAGUAUUUUUGUCACCCUAGGAUCGAAGCAAAUGGACUCCUGAAACAACCAGCAAACCAGGCUAUCGUCUUGUGAAACAGUGGAUGUAAAGAAUCUAGCUAGCUAAAGCAUUUACUGCAAAUUGAAUGUACUUUUUUGUAGGCUUGCCUUGCUGAUAUUUGCCAUGCAAUGCAGAUAGAUGAAAUAAUGUUGCUAGCUAUGUUCUUGCUUAUUGUACAGUGGAGGAUAAAAAUACCUGUAUGCCUAUGGAUGUGUAGCUAGCUAUCUAGCGAUCUGUGUAUAGACCCAAACGUGGUAUACAUAUUAGUUCAGAACCUAGCUAUGAACCUCAGCUAUCAUAGCCAGUUGUAUCAACUUGAAAACAGUCUGAAUUACAUUAAUGAAGGCUAUGGAUUGAGUAGAAUAUAAUAUAACUUUGUGUCAAGGAUGCAAGUUGUAUGUACAUGUAGUUAUUACCAUGCAUGAGAUCCCCACAUUGUAGCCUGUACAUUUAAUAUAUUCACUGAUCAUGUACUCUACCUUGGCAAAUAAAGGUGCAGUUUAGGUA